AUUAGCAAAAUUAAUGCAUUGUAUAUGUUUAGAUGUAAUGUGGUAUUUUUGUUAUUUUGUUUUGUAUGACUAAAAGGCAUAAUUGUUAAGUACUUAGAAGGUUUAGAACUUUGAUUCUAAUUGAAUAUUAGAUGUCUGGGUCUAUUUUGCUAAUUCUCAUUGAGGAGAAAGGAAACAGUCUCUUUAUACCGCAAAUUAGAAAUAAGGUUUACAUGCAUUUUUAUCUUUUUUGGACUUCACUUGAGAAAUCAUUAUGAGACAUUGAGUGGUGAAGCCAGGAAUUGGCAAAAGGCGUGCAAAUUUUCUUAUAGACAGUAUCGUAUAAGGCCUGCUUGUAAAGUACUUCUAUAAAAGGUUCAAAACUUUGAUUCCAACGGUAUAUUAGAUGUGGUAUAUUUUACUUGUUGAAAUUGAGAAGAAUUAGGAAACAACCUUUCUAUCCCGCAAAGUAAGAAUAAGGUCCGCAUACAUUUUAUCUUUUGUAAAUUUCACUUGUGAAAUCAUAGUGUGAAUGACGGAGAUAUCUUUCUUUUUGCUCAUCUUUGUCUCCGCACAUCUUUGUCUCCGCAAAACCUAAUUCCAAUUAUAAAGUUGAAAUCUUUUUCAGUUUUUCUCGGAUAUUUAUUUAUUUUCCUGUAAUUUGGUUUCUUUUGGGGGGUUUUAAAUUUAGACUGAUUUCAAGAAGAUAUUAAGGAAGGAUCUUUGUAUUCUUUGUACUCUGUACACUUAUUAUACCCUUCCAGUUAUGUUGUUAGGCUGAUUUAUUAUUAUAGAGUGUGGAUUUGGAUAUUGUUUCUGCACAUGCUUAUUUUCUAAUGUUCGCAAAUCACUAAUUUUAGUUUGAAUGUGUUUAUGGAUUGCUAAGCUUUAUUAUUUAGUAAUUUUUUGAUGCGGUCUUACCAUUUGCAGUAAAAUCCUAUUGAAAUUAACUAUGUCGUGAAUCAGACUACUAAGGAAUCAUAGAGAGAUUCAACUGAAGCAAGAAGAGAAAUAGCUAAGCUACUAAAGACUGGUCAGGAAGCUACUACUGGAAUUCGGUGAGAGAAGAGAGAAUGAUGGCAGCAUAAGAGAUAGCCAAGCUAUUCUGUCAGCUAAUACAUGUUCCGUCUUUCAAGUACUGAAGCACAAAGUUUGGGGAGUUUGCUAGCUGAGCUGAAAGUUGACAAGAGUAGCAAAGAGUGAAUUUUGUAAGGGACUGAUCACGGUUACUGCUUGCUUGAGAGUUUUGGAGGUGUUACUUUUGAUUGGUUGCAUUGGCCACAAGCUCAUCAGUCCUUCAGCUAUUGAGUAUAGAUAAAAUCACUUGAUGUGAAAAAAGACAUUGAUUUGUUGAAGUUGCAUGCACACUCCACAUCUCUACAAUACUUUUGAAGAAAGGUGUAGGGAGGGGUCUCACGCCAUUAACCAUAACAAACAUCAUGUGUCGAGAAACCUUGAACAAAGAAUCUUUGAUCGAGGAGAUUGUUCAAGAAGCACUGGACUUCGUACUUCCUAGAUUCAAGUAAAGAUGCACUCCUUGAGACCAUCUAACAUGUCACGUAUCACUGCCUUGAUGAAGUUGCCUGUUAACAUUGGCAUAUAGGUGUACAUAGGAGGAGAGUCUGCACACCUUUCGUUUGCAUGCAUCAACAUCGAGAGAAUAUCCUAAUUCAUUGUUUUCAAUUGAUUUUCGCAGUUAACUGGAAAUGACUAGCUAGGUUGUGACCAAGUUUUUCAAUUGUCAAAAACCGUGAAGUUUGUUUGUUGUUAAUCUUUCUAUGUUGGAUUAACUUAAAGUAACAAUAGCCUUUUCCUCAAAUAAUGUUUUAUGUU